GAAUUAACGUGCUCAACCACAUUGCUCUACUGUAAAAUGACCAGAUACUGCUUUGGUUGCCCAUGCCAGUAUUUCUCUAGUAAAACACUCUUAUCUGAAUGGUUGUAGUGAAUUUGAAAAGGAUUCUCAUUGCGGCCAGCCAUCCCAGAUUUAAGAAAGGUUGGCAGCAAAGGUGUCAAUUUUCAUGAUUCGUCAAUCACAUUCCAAGUUGAGUUUUUGAAUGAGAUUCAGGGUUGAUGUUGCCGGUGUUACAUUAAAGGAUUAAGUUCUUAUUCACUAACAUUUCAAGGACCAAUGUCUUCUUAAAAUUUACUUGAAAGGAUUUAGUUCAUUCUGUGAACAUAUCUACCAACGAUGCAAGCUCCGAUGGGACGUAUCGUAUAUUGUGCGUGUAUAUAUCAAGUCUGUUAUGAUUUGCAGUAUCUCUUCCGAAGCUUCUCUCAGAAGAAUAUGCUAAGCAAUCAACUCACGAAUCAUAUAAGGUACGAAAUAUAUAUAUGAAAUCAAGAA